AUUGAACGCUGGCGGCAUGCCUAACACAUGCAAGUCGAGCGAGGGGCGGACGGGUGAGUAAUGUAUGGGGACUGCCCGAUAGAUGGGGAUAACUACUGGACACGGUGGCUAAUACCGCCUACUAUUGGAUAACCCAUAUGGGAUUAGCUAGUAGGUGGGGUAAAGGCUCACCAAGGCGACGAUCCCUAGCUGGUCUGAGAGGAUGAUCGGCCACACGGGGACGGAGACACGGCCCAGACUCCUACGGAGGAAGCAGUGGGGAAUAUUGCACAAUGGGCGAAAGCCUGAUGCAGCCAUGCCGCGUGUAUGAAGAAGGCCUUAGGGUUGUAAAUUACUUUCAGCGGGGAAGCGGUACCCGCAGAAGAAGCACCGGCUAACUACGUGCCAGCAGCCGCGGUAAUAC
rnacentral:rRNA from 1 species